rnacentral:lncRNA from 1 species
GUUUAUAUUAGGUACUAAAAACUGUCUCUUAGGAAUGGAGUGAUUAAUUAGGGGCUGGAGCAGUUUGUCUGUGAUUGCGGUGGUGUAGAAUCGGUGUUUGCAAGUGUUUGCUAUUCAAUUUGCAGGUGACUCAACUCAACAUAUCUACUGCUUUUUUAAAGGGAUUGGUUGGCAGAUCUAGAUCAAUUCAUUGGGUCAUUUUCAAAUAGAAUGCUUGUGUUUUGAGUAUUUGGAAAGCAAGAAAUGGAAAACUAUUUCAUAACAGACCAUUUAGGGUACACGUAAGUUGGCUGAGCAGGAGAAAUUGAAUAGUCUUGAUUAUAACAUAAAAUAUCUCAAUGAUGCUUGAAUGCAAGUGCUAGUUUGGGGUUUAUUUGACUGUGUUUUCUGCUGUCCAAAGUCUGUCAUAAUUGCUUGA